AUUAAAACAAAGACCCAUAAGAGGUAGACCAGCGCGCGGCGGAAAGUCUUGUCGCUUGCUUUUGUUGGACACCCGACGGGUUGGGAGAUGGAGGUGCAAGGAGUUUCUCCGUGCCCGUCGGAGCCCAUCCCCCACGCGCGGGGGUCAGGAGGCUGCCAGCCGCCGCCGCAGCAGGAUGGGCAGGCAGGGGAAAGCGCCGGCGACAGCGCUCAGCUGCCGGAGAAGAGGAAAAGCGACGAGAAGGAGGACAAAAAGAGAUUCCCAUUGAAAUCCUUUGCAGCUCAUUGACAAUGGCAAAUUGUUGAAGGACUACUAACCUGAAAUAUCUUCCAAAAAAAUAUUGACAUUUAGCUUUCUGACCUAAGAGGGGAAAAUGCACUCCAGAUAACUUUCAGAUGUUGUAGCCGACAUGCAAGUGGACAGCUCUUUCCAAAUUAAUUGGAUUAUUUACUUACUUACUUACUUAUGUGAUGCAAACUAUUUUGUCGUUAAAGUUCCAUUAAAAUUAUUAUACAUUUGUAAAUUUAAAAUCUUUUUAGAGUGCCUGAUUCACCAUGGAAGUAAAUCAUCUGUCUUGAACUCUGAAUUAAAAUUAAAAAUGAGAUUAUU